rnacentral:rRNA from 1 species
AUUGAACGCUGGCGGCAUGCUUUACACAUGCAAGUCGAACGGCAGCGCGGGCUUCGGCCUGGCGGCGAGUGGCGAACGGGUGAGUAAUAUAUCGGAACGUACCCAAGAGUGGGGGAUAACGUAGCGAAAGUUACGCUAAUACCGCAUACGAUCUAAGGAUGAAAGCAGGGGAUCGCAAGACCUUGUGCUCCUGGAGCGGCCGAUAUCUGAUUAGCUAGUUGGUGGGGUAAAGGCCCACCAAGGCAACGAUCAGUAGCUGGUCUGAGAGGACGACCAGCCACACUGGAACUGAGACACGGUCCAGACUCCUACGGGAGGCAGCAGUGGGGAAUUUUGGACAAUGGGGGCAACCCUGAUCCAGCAAUGCCGCGUGAGUGAAGAAGGCC